rnacentral:rRNA from 1 species
ACGGAAGGCAGCAGCUAAGAAUAUUCCGCAAUGGACGAAAGUCUGACGGAGCGACGCCGCGUGGAUGAUGAAGGUCGGAAGAUUGUAAAAUCCUUUUAUAACUGAGGAAUAAGCAGUGUGAGAGAAACGCAUUGCGGUGACUGUAGGUUAUGAAUAAGCAACGGCUAAUUACGUGCCAGCAGCCGCGGUAACACGUAAGUUGCGAGCGUUGUUCGGAAUUAUUGGGCGUAAAGGGCAUGUAGGCGGUUUUGCAAGCUUGAUGUGAAAGGCAGGAGCUUAACUCCUGGACUGCGUUGGGAACUGCAUGGCUAGAGUCACGGAGGGGCAAUCAGAAUUCCUGGUGUAGGGGUGAAAUCUGUAGAUAUCAGGAAGAAUACCAAUGGCGAAGGCAGGUUACCAGCAGAUGACUGACGCUGAGGUGCGAAAGUGCGGGGAGCAAACAGGAUUAGAUACCCUGGUA